GCUCUGAUAGCUCAGUUGGUUAGAGCAUCCGGCUGUUAACCGGGAGGUCGCAGGUUCGAUUCCUGUUUAGAGCG
rnacentral:tRNA from 1 species